rnacentral:tRNA from 3 species
GGAGGAGUGGGUGAGUGGCUGAAACCAGCACAUUGCUAAUGUGCCGUAUGGGAAACUGUACCGAGGGUUCGAAUCCCUCCUCCUCCGCCA